rnacentral:misc_RNA from 1 species
GAUGAAGAACGCAGCGAAAUGCGAUAAGUAAUGCGAAUUGCAGAAUUCCAGUGAGUCAUCGAAUCUUUGAACGCACAUUGCGCCCGCCAGUAUUCUGGCGGGCAUGCCUGUUCGAGCGUCAUUUCAACCAUCAAGCCUUCGCUUGUGUUGGGGCCCCGCGGCUGCCGCGGCCCCCUAAAUCCAGUGGCGGGCUCGUCGUCGUACCGAGCGCAGUAGACAUCCUCGCUCCGGGAACCCGACGGGUGCCGGCCGUGAAACCCCCCCCAUCAAGGUUGACCUCGGAUCAGGUAGGAAUACCCGCUGAACUUAAGCAUAUCAAUAAGCGGAGGA